GUACAUGCCUGAGCAUACUCGUA
rnacentral:siRNA from 1 species